rnacentral:tRNA from 1 species
GGGGGUACAGCUCAGUGGUAGAGCACAUGCUUAGCAUGCAUGAAGUCCUGGGUUCAAUCCCCAGUACCUCCA